rnacentral:lncRNA from 1 species
UGUCCUUGAGAGCAAAAUUAAUCAGCCUAAGUUUAAUAGCAUCAUCUGACAUUUAGUGUAUUCUCAUGGUGUCACAUACUUCCUCAAAUUCUCUAAUAAAAAUAUAUGCAUCUUCAUUACCAGUGAACUUAGGGAGCAUGCUAAUGAUUUGAGAUUUAAUUUCAAAAGUUGUUGCAUUGGUUUGGGGAAGUCUGAUACAAGAUAGUUGGGCUGACCCAAUAAGAUAGCAA